AUGUCUGUAGGUGAGAGGCAAGGUCUCAGGGAACCAGAGAACCUGCUAGACCCAGCUGGGAAACUGUACUGGCCUGCCUAUGCCCUGCCACAAACCCCUGCAGCCCAUUUCCUUUCCUCCCACAAACUCUCUGCCAGCCCUCAGCCCUGCUGGUCUGUGCAGGUGUCCGGGGAGGUUUCUCUCACACAACCACCUCCCUCCUGCGCCCAGGUCUCUCCCAGGGCACAGGGAGCGGGACACACAGCCACCCUCACACAGGCCUUGGUCCUAUGCUCUUUCAUUGCCUUGGGACAGGUUUUUGUCAUUCUCCAGAUAAGGACCCCGGGGGUCAGAUGGUAGAGGAUAGGAGUGCAGUCAGAGCUCGGGACCUUUCCAAGUCACACAACACAAAGAACCCAGACUUUAAACUGCAGACUGUGACCCCAGUUCCUUCCCCUCAGCAUCUCUGACACAAGAUCCACUCACACUGCACCCACCAGGGACCGCAGGGCAAUGGGUGUGGAUGGUGCGGUGGGUGUGGACAGUUAAGUCAGUCCGAGGUGGUGGGCUCCUGGGCAUCGAACUGGACCUGGACCAUGCCCAUGCUAGGCAACCCCUCGGCCUGGAUGGUGAGCUCAUGGUGCACAGCUGCCUCGAUGUCCUGCAGCAGACGGGCCUCCCACUGUCUCACCCGCAGCAUCUGCUCAGGAGAGAGGCCUCAGUUAUCCCCCAGCAUCUUCCCUAGAGAUGAGGUGGUGCGCUGCAAAAUGCAUUUACCCAAAGAGGUGCCUACUAGGCCUGGCGUGCGCGCAGGCCAAAGACACCAGCCAGCCCCACCCAGAGCCCCUCUGUGCUCCGAGCG
rnacentral:lncRNA from 1 species